rnacentral:rRNA from 1 species
UACGUAGGGGGCGAGCGUUGUCCGGAUUUAUUGGGCGUAAAGGGCUCGUAGGCGGUCUGUCGCGUCGGGAGUGAAAACUCAGGGCUUAACCCUGAGCCUGCUUCCGAUACGGGCAGACUAGAGGUAUGCAGGGGAGAACGGAAUUCCUGGUGUAGCGGUGAAAUGCGCAGAUAUCGGGAGGAACACCGGUGGCGAAGGCGGUUCUCUGGGCCUUACCUGACGCUGAGGAGCGAAAGCGUGGGGAGCGAACAGG